rnacentral:lncRNA from 1 species
UGGCCGUUCAUGAUUGCAUAAGGCUGAGGAGUAUAGUGCAUGUCUUGGUGAGGAUAAUAAUAUGUUGAGAUGCCCUUUCUGAGAAUGCGGGUCUGUGAGCAUGAUGUUUUCUCAUCCCGGAGGCGGCCAUGGACACUUCCUCUUUCUUCUUGUUUCUUGGGAUCCCUCCCGCCCCGCUUUGUAUGGCCUGGGAGGUUUCUCUUAUGGCGGAUUGACUCAAAAU